CCUACGGGUGGCUGCAGUGGGGAAUUUUGGACAAUGGGGGCAACCCUGAUCCAGCCAUGCCGCGUGAGUGAAGAAGGCCUUCGGGUUGUAAAGCUCUUUCGGCCGGGAAGAAAUCGCUCAAGCUAAUACCUUGGGUGGAUGACGGUACCGGAAGAAGAAGCCCCGGCUAACUACGUGCCAGCAGCCGCGGUAAUACGUAGGGUGCGAGCGGGAAUCGAAAUUACGGAGGGUAAAGCAUACGACGGCGGCGAAAUCCCCGGGCUUAACCUGGGAACUGCGUUGGUGACUGUGGUGCUCGAGUGCGGCAGAGGGGGGUGGAAUUCCACGUGUAGCAGUGAAAUGCGUAGAGAUGUGGAGGAACACCGAUGGCGAAGGCAGCCCCCUGGGUCGACACUGACGCUCAUGCACGAAAGCGUGGGGAGCAAACAGGAUUAGAUACCCGAGUAGUC
rnacentral:rRNA from 1 species